rnacentral:rRNA from 1 species
UCCAGACUCCUACGGGAGGCAGCAGUGAGGAAUAUUGGUCAAUGGGCGGAAGCCUGAACCAGCCAAGUCGCGUGAGGGAAGAAGGCCCUGCGGGUCGCAGACCUCUUUGGACGGGGAGCAAGGCCGCCGACGUGUCGGCGGAAGGAGAGUACCCGUAGAACAAGCAUCGGCUAACUCCGUGCCAGCAGCCGCGGUAAUACGGAGGAUGCGAGCGUUAUCCGGAUUUACUGGGUGUAAAGGGCGAGUAGGCGGGAUUGCAAGUCAGAUGUGAAAACUAUGGGCUCAACCGAUAGAGUGCAUUUGAAACUGCAGUUCUUGAGUGAUGGAGAGGCAGGCGGAAUUCCCGGUGUAGCGGUGGAAUGCGUAGAUAUCGGGAGGAACACCAGUGGCGAAGGCGGCCUGCUGGACAUUAACUGACGCUGAGGCGCGAAAGCGUGGGGAGCAAACAGGAUUAGAUACCCGAGUA